CUUCUCAGCCGAUGAAUAGUUGAUAUAUGUUGUUUGCUGUGAUGAUGGUUAGUAUUGCGAUUAGGAAGAUGGAAAGGUAA